GCCGAGAUGGUGGAAUUGGUAGACACAAGGGACUUAAAAUCCCUCGGUAUUUAAUACUGUCCGAGUUCAAGUCUCGGUCUCGGCA
rnacentral:tRNA from 1 species